rnacentral:lncRNA from 1 species
CAAGGAGUUCAGGACCCCCAAAUCUUCACCCCGAGGGGUUCAGGACCCCCCAAGCCCCCUCCCCAAAUUGGGGGGUCCCUCAGAGGGGGCUCAGGACCCCCAAACCCCCUCCCCAAAUUCAGGGGUCCCACAGAAAGGGGUCCAGGAGCCCCCAAACCCCCUCCCCAAAUUGGGGGGUCCCUCAGAAGGGGGAUCCAGAACCCCCAAGCCCCCUCCCCAAAUUGGGGGGUCCCUCAGAGGAGGUCCAGAAUCCCCCAAAUCUUCACCCCAAGGGGCUCAGGACCCCCAAACCCCCUCCCCAAAUUGGAGGGUCCCUCAGAGGGGGGGUCCAGAGCCCCCAAACCCCCUCCCCAAAUUGGGGGGUCCCUCAGAGGGGGGGUCCCAGGCACUCCACCAUCCCCUGGCCCCUGAUGCCGUCGAAGAAGAAGAAAUUGUUGUGGGGGGGGUCCCGCUGGGACAGAGCCUGGAGGGGACACGGGGGGGUCACCAGGGGGGAUUUGGGGACCCCCAAAAUCCCCAAAACCCCCCAAAACCCCCCAAAAUCCCCCCAAAAUCUUACCUUGACCACCUCCUGGCCCAGCACCCCCCCGACCACGGCGCACACCGGGGCCAUCUCCGAAAAACAGAAGCUGGGAGAUAAAAAUAAAGAGAUUUAAGAGGAAUAAAUCCCCAAAAUUGGGGGGUUUCA